ACGGAAGGCAGCAGUGGGGAAUAUUGCACAAUGGGGGAAACCCUGAUGCAGCGAUGCCGCGUGGAGGAAGAAGGUUUUCGGAUUGUAAACUCCUGUCUUAAGGGACGAUAAUGACGGUACCUUAGGAGGAAGCUCCGGCUAACUACGUGCCAGCAGCCGCGGUAAUACGUAGGUGGCAAGCGUUAUCCGGAUUUACUGGGUGUAAAGGGCGCGUAGGCGGGGAUGCAAGUCAGAUGUGAAAUCCAUGGGCUCAACCCAUGAACUGCAUUUGAAACUGUAUCUCUUGAGUGCUGGAGAGGUAGAUGGAAUUCCUAGUGUAGCGGUGAAAUGCGUAGAUAUUAGGAAGAACACCAGUGGCGAAGGCGAUCUACUGGACAGUAACUGACGCUGAGGCGCGAAAGCGUGGGGAGCAAACAGGAUUAGAUACCCUGGUA
rnacentral:rRNA from 1 species